GCUUGUCUCAAAGAUUAAGCCAUGCAUGUCUAAGUAUAAAUGUUAUACAGUGAAACUGCGAAUGGCUCAUUAAAACAGUUAUAGUUUAUUUGAUAAUCGAAUUUACAUGGAUAACCGUGGUAAUUCUAGAGCUAAUACAUGCUGGUUAGCCUGACUUCGAGGAAGGGCUGUAUUUAUUAGAUGGAAACCAAUGCGGGGCAACCCGGAAAAUGGUGAUUCAUAAUAACUUUCGGAUCGUUUACGAUGCAUCAUUCAAGUUUCUGCCCUAUCAGCUUUGGAUGGUAGGGUAUUGGCCUACCAUGGCUUUAACGGGUAACGGAGAAUUAGGGUUCGAUUCCGGAGAGGGAGCCUGAGAAAUGGCUACCACAUCCAAGGAAGGCAGCAGG
rnacentral:rRNA from 1 species